GAAACUGAGACCCAGUACAGGGAAAUGACACAUUCAAGUUCACACAGAAUUGGCUUCAUCCCAGGCAGCUCUACCUGCCUGUAUCCUGAUGAUCUCCAACAGAUCCAAUCUUACCUUCUAUCAUCCUAACAACUAGCAAAUGCUCUCCGGUAAAUAUCUGGAACUCCAAGCUCCAUCUCACUUCGGCUUUUUGAGAGCUCA